GAUGCCGGCGUCUACCAUGCAGUCGACGAACCUUCGGGUUAGUGGCGGACGGGUGAGUAACGCGUGAGAAUCUGCCCUCAGGAGGGGGACAACAGCUGGAAACGGCUGCUAAUACCCCAUAUGCCGUGAGGUGAAAUGAAUUUCGCCUGAGGAUGAGCUCGCGUCUGAUUAGCUAGUUGGUGUAGGUAAUGGCUCACCAAGGCAUCGAUCAGUAGCUGGUCUGAGAGGAUGAUCAGCCACACUGGGACUGAGACACGGCCCAGACUCCUACGGGAGGCAGCAGUCGGGAAUAUUGGACAAUGGAGGAAACUCUGAUCCAGCAAUGCCGCGUGUGUGAUGAAGGCCCUAGGGUUGUAAAGCACUUUCAACGGUGAAGAUGAUGACGGUAGCCGUAGAAGAAGCCCCGGCUAACUUCGUGCCAGCAGCCGCGGUAAUACGAAGGGGGCGAGCGUUAUCCGGAAUCAUUGGGUUUAAAGGGUCCGCAGGCUGUUUUUUAAGUCAGAGGUGAAAUCCUACAGCUCAACUGUAGAACUGCCUUUGAUACUGGCAAACUUGAGUUAUUGUGAAGUAGUUAGAAUGUGUAGUGUAGCGGUGAAAUGCAUAGAUAUUACACAGAAUACCGAUUGCGAAAGCAGAUUACUAACAAUAUACUGACGCUGAGGGACGAAAGCGUGGGUAGCGAACAGGAUUAGAUACCCUGGUAGUCCACGCCGUAAACGAUGGUCACUAGCUGUUCGACGUACAUUG
rnacentral:rRNA from 1 species